rnacentral:lncRNA from 1 species
CAGGAGACAGCACAAAAAGCAAAAACCAGGCAAAGUCCCAAUCAAGAUUCUUUCAAGUUAAACAGUGAGAUGUAGCAAAUGUCAAGGCCUGAGGUUUAUUGCUAGAGCCCAUGGGGCUUGGUGAGAGGGCAUUAAGACUACAUAAAAAGACAAUCAGAAAAUAAGAGGUGGAAACUCUCCACCUCUGAUAAGGUAUUUUGUGAGCAAGAUGGAAGAUUACUGGCCUGGAAGGGAAUUGCCUGGAGAUUCCCCAAGACAUCAGAUCUGAGGUACAGCAGCUCAUACAUAUCAAGGAAUAAGAAAGAAAAGACAAGGUUUUGGGGAGUUGACACGCUCUCGCUCAAGUACUGAGGAAAUAUACUGCCAGCUGAGUCAAGUAUAAGGAUUGUCCAGAAAAGAGAAAACUUAAGAGGAAAAAAAAACCAGGUGUAGGGCAGCCAAUAAAUUGUCAAUGAAGAGAGAAAGCAGGCAAAGAGAGCAGCUGGCUAGAGCCCAGCAGAAGAAAUUCAGUGCCUGGGAGACCAGAUUUCUGUGCUACAUUAUUUCAAAAGCCAAGAAGCCACUGGAGUUCAAGGAGAGAAGGAGCUGGACAGCCAAGGAAACCUCCUGA